UACGUAGGGUGCAAGCGUUGUCCGGAAUUAUUGGGCGUAAAGAGCUCGUAGGCGGUCUGUCGCGUCGGUCGUGAAAACUUGGGGCUUAACCCUGAGCUUGCGGUCGAUACGGGCAUGACUGGAGUUCGGCAGGGGAGACUGGAAUUCCUGGUGUAGCGGUGAAAUGCGCAGAUAUCAGGAAGAACACCAAUGGCGAAGGCAGCUCUCUGGGACGGUACUGACGCUGAGACGCGAAAGCGUGGGGAGCGAACAGG
rnacentral:rRNA from 1 species